AGAGGACGGCAGAUCAAGAGCAUCUCAUCCUCCGGCUGCUGAGUCAUCCUGCUCUGGCAGUUAUUUAAACAGAAGGCUCCAGGAGACAUACAAUCAACACUCCACUCAGACAAUGCCCAGACCUCCAGAAACCAUGUGUCAAGCUCGGAUUGCCUUAGACAGGUGCAAUUUAAGAACAGCUUUCAUCCUCUUUUCUCUCAUAUUGUCACACUAUGUGUUCUGACUUCUGGCUCCUUUCCUCACAAGAAGCUCACCCAGCUGGAACUCUUAUGGGACCUUGGCACCAGAGACCACAAAUUCCUCUUUGAAGUUUUCUAACAGCAACAAUGGUAUUUCUGACUUGGCUUUCUUGUAUUUCUCUCACGUUAACAAAAUUGGUUCAGCAUCUACCAUGGGCUACAUGCUGAGCUACAGGUAAGGUUUGGCUAAAGGAUGAAUAAGAACCCCUCCUUGUCUUCAGGAGUUUGUCUAGCAGAGGAGUCUGUCAUGUAAUCAGGAAACUCCAGUACACAACGUGAUAGCUCUAAGACAGGUAUAUACAAGAUGAUGUUCUGGACCUUAACUGUUUGGGGAGUACUACUGCCUUUGUCUAAAAGCCAUCACCCUUUUUAUAUGCCAUUUGGGAGGAACUGGGGGGACGUGGGAGGCUUCAAAGGGUUAUGGGAGGAUGGACAUUUUAAAAGGGCUUUUCUUUUCUUUUUUUUUUUUUGAGACAGAGUUUCGCUCUGUCGCCCAGGCUGGAGUGCAGUGGCGCGCGAUCUCGGUUCACUGCAAGCUCCACCUCCCGGGUUCACGCCAUUCUCCUGCCUCAGCCUCCUGAGUAGCUGGGACUACAGGCGCCCGCCACCACACCCAGGAAUCCAACUUGCUGUUUGCUAUCACAUGUGCUAUACAUGCUGUUGAUGAAACUGCUAAAGGGGCUGAAUGUGACUGACGUCUUUGGAAGGAUGAGACUUAGCGUGCCUGUACAGUUGUGUCCAAAUGCUGUCCUCAUCUCCCAAUGAAAAGGGUUUUUCCUUAAGCCUCACAACAAUUUACAGCAUUGCCAGCAGCAUUCAGUACAUUCAGAACAGGAUAAUUUCACCCGCAGCUGAACUAGGGCCAUGCCUGGGACAGACAGAGAAUGGCCUUCCAGCAGACAUGCCAAGAAGCAAGCCAGGGUCAGUGAGUGAAGAGGAGGGCAGGCCCAUUUGAAGCAACACAGUUUAUGUAAGUGUGAUCUAACUGCUUUCACUGGAAAUGGGUCAGACUCCAGUUGAGAGAACCAGGGGCCUGAAUGACCCCAGCAAAAUCACUGUGGCAAUUCUUUCAAUCACCUCUGAGAAUAUGGCCCUGUGACGACAUAAUGACGUUUGGAUUAAUUCCAGUCGGCUGUGUUUUCCCCUCCUUUCUUGCCUCCCCGUAGUUGAUUUGCCAAAUUUUUUUUGUUUGCUUAAAUACGCGGAACUAAACAGGAUACAUUAUAUGACAGUCUGUGAUAAAUUUACCACUGGGAAUAGGGAAAAAGUAUGGGAUAAAGAAAUAGGUAUUUUUCGCCUCUCACAGCUGUGAUUCAGUUCUGACUCAAAAGGAAGUGUGCCACCUACUGAAUCACAGAAACCACUUCCUGUGGCUGUUUGGUUUAUUCUGGAGGAGCAUCAGGCCAAGUGCUGCCCUGCCCUGACCCUGACUGGCUCUUCAGAGCCAAGGCAUUCACAGCUUGAGGUGGUUUGGCCUCAGACUCUUGAGAACAUUGCAUAUUAAAUUACAAGUGUUUCGUUUCCUAGCAAGGAGUCUUUAGCAACAUGAAAACGAACGUGUGUUAUUUGCAAACCAAGUAUAUCAUUACUGAACCUGAAUAUCCUUACUUUUUCAUAAGGUACGUAUUCCGGAUGACCACUCUUAAGAUCUGAAUGUACACUGGUUCUGUUUUUCCUGAGGGGAACUUGGGCAGUCUGCAGGGUGGCAUUUACCAGCUGAGGGACUUCAAGAGCACCCUUUAAUCAGUGUGGCAGCACUCAACUUGUAUUCACUCACUCAGAGUAUUUUUGAGCAUGUACUUAUUGCCAUGUGCUGUGCUAGGUAGGGGUAGAGGGUACAGUGGUGAACAAGACCCCACAGCUCCUGACCUCAUGGCUCAUGUGUUCUACACCAUAAGGGAAUCAAGCUGUGUCUCCCGGGGCAGGGGCCUUCCUCUGUUCACCAUGCAGCCCCAGCAUCUAGCACCUGGCGUUGCAUAAAGGAGGCUCUAAAUCAAGCUUGUCCAACCCAAGGCCCACGGGCCACAUGUGGCCCAGGAUGGCUUUGAAUGCAGCCAAACACAAAUUUGUAAACUUUCUUAAAACAUUAUAAGAUUUGUGUGUAUGUGUUUUAGUCCAUCAGCUAUUGUUAGUGUUCAUGUAUUUUAUGUGUGGCCCAAGACAAUUCUUCUAUGUGGCCCAAGGAAACCAAAGAUUGAACACUCCUGCUCUAAAUACUUGUUUGUUGAAUAGAUACAUGAAAAGAAAGAAGGAGAGAAGGAAGAAAGGAGGGCGGAAGGAAAGGAAGAAGGGAGAGAAGAAGAGAAGAAAGAAGCAGAGAAAGGAAGAGAAAAGAAAUUACGGCCAGUGCGGUGGCUCACGCCUGUAAUCCUAGCACUUUGGGAGGCCUAAGCGGGCUGAUCACCUGAGGUCAGGAGUUCGUAAGCCAGCCUGGCCAACAUGGUGAAACCCUAUCUCUACUAAAAAUACAAAAAUCAGCAGGGCAUGGUGGUGCGUGCCUGUAAUCCCAGCUACCUGGGAGGCUGAGGUAGGAGAAUCGCUGGAACCCGAGAGGCGGAGGCUGCAGUGAGUUGAGAUCAUGUCACUGCACUCCAGGCUGGGCAACAGAGUGAGACUCUGUCUCAGAAAAAAAAAAAAAGAAAGAAAGAAAGAAAGAAAGUUACCAUUAGUUUUUUGUUGUAUUUGCAAGCAAAGACAAAAGCACCAAGGUACUUGUUUCCUUCUGUAAUUAGAGUUUCAAAUAGACUAAAAGUUUCUGCUCUUAGGUGGGUCUAGAGACUCUCCAGUACCUCAGGACCUCAGGACACAUGGGGUCUCUUGGUUGUUUUCUUUUCAUUGUUGUUGUUUAUUUUAUUUUUGUUUUUAUUUUUUAACUUUAAAACAAUUUUUUGUAGAUGAAUAUGCUUACAUAUGUUUGGGGGUUUUUUUGAGACAGGGUCUUGCUCUGUUGCCCAGGCUGGAGAGCGGUGGUUUAACCACAGCUCACUGCAGCCUCGACCUCCCAAGGUAGGGACUGCAGGUGUGUACACUGGGGUGCACCACCACACCCAGCUAAUUUUUAAAUUUUUUUUUGUAGAUAUUGUCUCACUCUGUUGGCCAGACUGGUCUUGAAAUCCUGGGCUCGAGCAAUUCUCCUGCCUCGGCCUCGUAACGCGUUAGGAUUACAAGCGUGAACACCGCACCUGGCCAGCAUGUGGUCUCUUAACCAGAGGAGGCCUCUUCUGAACUAGGUAGAGGUCCUGAGAAUUGAUUCUGAGAGUAAAAGGCUCUUUGUUCUCCUCAGAGUAGAUUAGAAUCCCUAAUGAUAGAGCAUCUAUUAUUCCUCUAGUGGUCCAUGCCCAACAGAUUCAUCCAAGAAUAGAUGAAGAUCUUUGUAAUGUUGUGCAAGUAAUCUAAUCACCCCACAGAAGAGCUGUGACUUAAAUUAUCCCAGAGUCGGCCCACCUGUUUUCAUAAAGAUCAAUGUAACUUGUAAAUUUCUUCAGUUCUCCUCACCUAUCAUCAUUUGACUAACAAAACCCAGAAAACUAGGCUAGUUAUGGUGGCCUAUGCAUAUAAUCCCAACUCUUUGAGAGGCCAGGGUGGGUGGAUUGCUUGAGUCCAGGAAUUCGAGACCAGCCUGGGCAACAAAGGGAGACCCUGCCUAUAUCCCAGCUAUGCAGGAGGCGAGGCCAGAGGAUUGCCUGAGCCUCAGAGGUUGAGGCUGUAGUGAGCCAUGAUUGCCCCACUACACUCCAGCCUGGAUGACAGAGUGAGACCCUGCCUUAAAAAUAAUAAUAAUAGUAAUAAUAUUUCAUAAAGAUACAGGAAACUAGAUUAUAAUUGACAUUUUCAAAGUGAAAUACUGUCUAGAAUGGUGCUUGGCCAACAGUAAGCUUUUUGUAAGUGGAAGUCAUUACUACUACUAUUUCUUUCAUUAUUAUUACCAUUACUACUUUUUUUUACAAAAAAAAAACCCUGGACAACACACUGAAACCAUUACUACUUCUACUACUAUAACUUAGGUUGCACCUGAUAGAGCCAGCAAUUUUUCCAAGGUAUGACAAUGGCCAUAUGUUUAAUGAUAUAAUUCUAUGGCUCAGUGUAUCUCAGCCUUUUUAAACCCUGCUCUUCUUUUGACAAUUGUAAAAAUCUUAAACUGACCUCCAGUUGAAAUCCUCUGUCAAGAAGAUAUUGUCGGCCAGGGGCGGUGGCUCACACCUGUAAUCCCAGCACUUUUGGAGGCCGAGGUGGGAGGAUCACUUGAGGUUAGGAGUUCAAGACCAGCCUGGCCAACAUAGUGAAACCCCAUCUCUACUAAAAAUACAAAAAUUAGGCAGGCAUGGUGGUGUGUGCCUGUAAUCCCAGCUACUCAGGAGGCUGAGGUAGGAGAAUUGCUUGAACCUGGCAGGGCAGAGGUUGCAGCAAGCCGAGAUCACGCCACUGCUCUCCAGCCUGGGUGAGACUGUCUCAAAAAAAAAAAAAAAAAAGAAAGAAAGUAAGAAAAAGAAGAAAUCCCAAUCUCUUCUUUUAUGUGGAUUCUUCCUCACUUGAAUAAUACUUUUCUUCCCCAGUAUUCUCCAUAUUAUCCCAGAGUCAGCCCCUCUGUUUUUGUAAAGAUCUACGUAACCUCCUCUAAGUUUCCCAGUUCUCCUCACCUAUCAUAUCAUUUGGCUCAACAAAGGGCAGGAAGCUAGAUUCUAAUUGAUAUUUUGAGGCCGGGAGCAGUGGCUCAUGCCUGUAAUCACAGCACUUUGGGAGGCUGAGGCGGGCAGAUCACUGGAGGUCAGGAGUUCGAGACCAGCCUGGCCAAUAUGGUGAAACCUCGUCUCUACUAAAAAUACAAAAAAUUAGCCAGGCUUGGUGGCUUGUACCUGUAAUCCCAGCUACUCAGGAGGCUGAGGCAGGAGAAUAGCUUAAACCUGGGAGGAAGAGGUUGCAGUGAGCCGAGAUUGCUCAAUUGCACCCCAGCCUGGGUGACAGAGCAAAACUCCAUCUCAAAAACAAACAAACGAACAAACCUGAUAUUUUCAAAAUUGAGGCAAUUAUAACAGCUAUUUAGCCAAGCAUUAUGAUAGCAAUAAUAGCAAGAAAAUAAAUUAGUUAACAAAUGAGUCUCAGAAGCCCAAUGAUUUUUAUUUUAUUUUUAUUUUUUGAACUUUUAUUUUAGAAUCAGGGGAUACAUGUGCAGGUUUGUUACCCGGGUAUAUUGCAUGAUGCUGAGUUUUGGAGUAUGCAUGAAUCCAACCUGUCAUCCAGGUAGUGAGUAUAGUACCCAACAGAUAGUUUUUUUAACAUUUACUUCACUCCCUUCCCCAAUCUUGUAUUCCCCUGUGUCUACUGUUCCCAUUUUUAUGACUGUGCCAACAAUAAUUUUUUUUCUUUUUUCUUUAAAUAGAGAUGGGGGUCUCUAUUUAAAGAGCCUCCCAAAGUGCUAGGAUUACAGGUGUGAUCCAUUGCACCUGGCCCAUGCCAACAAUAUUUGAAACCCUUAUCUGCGUGUACAAGUUUGCUACUGGUUUUGUUUUGCUCAUUAAUACAUCCCAAGCAUCUAUACCUGGCUUGUAGUACCAGCAUGUAGUAGGUGCUUAAUAAAUAUUUAUUGAAUAAAUAAAUUAGUUUGACAUUAGUUUAACAUCUCAAGUAAAACAAAAUACCAUUCAAUUAAUUCUCUUCUUCUACUUUUUUCUUUUAAGAGAGACAAAUAGUCACACAUACAUCAGCAGGAGAGGAUACAAUUUCCUGUGUUUAAGUUUUUAUGAGUUACUUUAGUUCAAAUGUCACAGAAAAUUAUAUUGAACUCUUGACCAAUCUAUCUAUUUUUUCCAUUGGAGUAUUGACCCAAAUAAGAAAUAGCAUAAAGGAAAAAUUAUUUUUUGGCAGAAAAAUAUUCUCUCUAAAUUCUUGUGUGUUUUGUUUUGAUUUUUUCCUUAGUGACUGGAGGCCAGUUUCAAUCCACUGAAGCACAGAUUCCAAAUUUUCAAUCUGGUUUUCUUGAGUAGUGACUGAGUGCCAAAAAUGAAGCAAUGACACAACAUCACCAUCAAGACACUCCCCAGCACGCACACACAUGCCAGAGUCCAACACCAAGAUACUCCCCAGCACGCACACACACGCCAGAGUCCAGGCCAUAUUCGGGUGGCUUGCAAGCUUCUUCCCCCCAAGUAUUUACUCUCAAAAUAAUGGUUUUUGUUUUGUUUUGGUUUGGUUUGGUUUGUUUUUUUCCAAAUACAUUUCUUCCCUAUAUCUUUAACCAAUUCUCAUAAAAUUUUGUCUAAUACACUGGUCAGUGUAUUCCAGACCCUAAAAGAUAACAUAAUGAAACUAUCUAUGACUAAAAGGUAAUCAGGAUCUUCUACUUAUCCUUUUUUCCUCCCUCUUAAACUUUAAUUUUGAUACAUUUGGGAGUGAAAUGAUGACAAUAAAUGCAAAGUAAUUAUUGAAGAAACAGUAAUUUUGUAUUAGCUUACUGAAAAAAAAAAAAAAGAUAACCAAAUAUAUUUUGGCAGCCCCAAACGAGUCACAUGUGAAAUGCAGUGGGAGAGCAGUGUCCUGAAGGAAAAGGUGGCCUGCUGGACAGCCAAGAGAACAAACAUCCACUGCAAGUAAUAUGAGCUCUAAGUUUGGACUAGGCCUAUGUCUGCUCUGAGACUUGGGGCAAUUCACUUAAUCAGAGCCUUAAUCAGCUACGGACUAGCAAUAUCCAUACCCGCUACUUAUUUUGUAAAUCUCCUUUCUAAAGUUAACUCUAUUUAUUGUUCCAUAAUCCCAUAAAUUCUAGAAUCUUUUCCUGUUAUAGCCAAGUUGUCUAUCAUUGACAGAGAUAUUCACCUGGUUGUUUUGGCUUCUCUAAUCCUCCUGGUGAGAACACCUCCAAGGGAGCUUUCAGUGGCAUUUAAGGUCACUUGUGCUCUUGGUCCUAGAAACUGCCUUGAUAGUGGUUUUAGCUCACAUGAGAGCUGUGGCAAUUCCUUGAACCACACUGAUUGCUAUAAAGUGGAAGAGGAAUAGAUUGAAUUUUGGGGAGUCAACUACAAUGUGUACUACAGGUAAAUACUAUGAAUUUCCAAUUCACAGAUGAGAAAACUGAGGCAUGUGGUGGGAGGGAGGUUAUGUAAUUUGCCCAGUGUCACAGUUGAACCUAGGCAAAGGCCUAUCUCCAGGUCUAAACAAUUCAGUGGCCUCCUGUGUACAUUUCUGUCUCUCCUUUUUUAUCCACUGUGUCACCGAGGCUGGAUUGCAGUGGCUCGAUCAUGGAGAUCAUGGCUUUCUGUAGCCUUGAACUCCUGGGCUCAAGUGAUCCUCCUGCCUCAGCUUCCUGAGUGGCUGGGACUACAGGCUUGACAACACACCCGGCUAUCCCGUGUAUAUUUCUUGAGGGCUUAUGAUAUAUAAGAGAAACUCCAAAAUAAGAGGACGGUGUGCUAAGGGGAAGACCAAAGCACUAUCAAGAGGUAGAUUCAAUCGUACCCCUUCUAUUUACUAGUUGUGUGACUCUUUUGAAAAUGAGAAUAAUAGGCCAGGCUCGGUGGCUCCUGCCUGUAAUCCCAGCACUUUGGGAGGCUGAGGCAGGUAGAUCACCUGAGGUUAGAAGUUCAAGACCAGCCUAGCCAACAUGGCAAAACCCCAUCUCUAUUAAAAAUACAAAAAUUAGCCGGGAAUGGCAGCAUGUGCCUGUAGUUCCGGCUACUCAGGAGGCUGAGGCAGGAGAAUCACUUGAACCCAGGAGGCAGAGGUUGCAGUGAGCCGAGAUUGCGCUACUGCACUUCAGCCUGGGUGACAGCGAGACUCCAUCUCAAAAAAAAAAAAAAAGGAAGAAAAGAAAAGAAAAUGGGAAUAAUAAAACUUACUUACUGGAGCAGUAGCAAAGAUUAAAAUUUAGACCAUGCAGAAGAAUGUUUUUCAAAAUGACAUGACCUGGUAAUAGGAUAGAAAUGCAAAUUCCUGUUACUGCACCAGACCCACCAAAUAAGAAACUCUGGGGAUGGGACCCAGGACUAAGUACUUUAAUAAGCACUCCAGGUGAUUCUAAUGAUUGUUAAAGUUUGAGAACCACUGGUCUAACACAUUGCCUGGUACAUAAGCUCUUAUUUUGUUGUUAUUGUUCUAAGGACAAUGUGUGUAUUGACUUCUAUUUCCAGGAGUUCAUGACUUGGAGAACUAGGGAAAGGAAGACAAAAAUUCUUUAAUGCAGAACGAUACUGAUUGAUAAAUACCUGAAUAUAAUACAGGUUAAAUGUGCUUUGAAGAUUUAUAAAAGGUUGAAUUUAUUUCCAGCAAGAUGACUCUCAGAAGCCUUUAUAGAUUAGAGAAGAAAUGGAAAGGGGUAAAAAUAAUUAGGAACUAUAAAGCAGGGCAGACAAGUUUUCAAUGGUUACUGCCAAUGUGUAUACAGAAAGUUAGCUUGGCCAGGCAAAGUGGCUCAUGCUUGUAAUAUCAGCACUUUGGGAGGCCAAGGCGGGCAGGUCACCUGAGAUCAGGAGUUUGAGACCAGCCUGACCAACAUGGUGAAACUCUAUCUCUACUAAAAAUACACAAUUAGCCCAGCAUGGUAGAGCAUGCCUGUAAUCCCAGCUACUCAGGAGGCUGAGGCAGGAGAAUCGCUUGUACUUGGGAGGCAAAGGCUGCAGUGAGCUGAGAUCGUGCCAUUGCACUCCAUCCUGGGAAACAAGGGUGAAACUCCGUCUCCAGAAAAAAAAAAGUUACCUUGAAAUAUAUCAAUACAAACAAAUAAAUUAGAUAUUUCAUAUUGUACAGGAACAAAACCCAUCAGAAGAUGUCAGAAGAUAAGGAUUUUUGUCCUGAUGCUACACUUACCAGCUGUCCCUCAGUGUUCUACUUCUUAAAAAAAGAGAGAUGGAUAAACAGAGGCAACCCGAGGAUAAAGGCCUUGCUCAGUGUCACACAUUUCAGUCACUAAAUAAGACACAAUGGAUGCCAGUAUUCUCAUCCCCUCACAAAUAAAGAGCCUUCAAGCUCUUGCAGUCAACAAGAACUUUUGGAAUGAUUUCACUGCCUGAAAAGGCAGAUACAUAGGUGACACCCACAAAUAGGAAGAAAAUCAACCUGAACCUGAGUGUGUGGGCUCACUGACUCUAAGCAGUAGAGACAGAAGAAAAAGUUUUAGCAAAGAAGGGUUCUGAAAGAAAAUAAAUAUAGCUCGUUAUCAAGUGCUGUUUUUACACAGUAAAACAUGGGCAAAAUUACUCUUCUUUAAGUAGUAAUUCUUAUCUCUUGAUUAAGUCACCUACUCAUUCAUUUAAUAAAUACAUACUGAUUGUUUUCUAUGUGUUGAGCACUCAUCUCUGUAUUGGAAAUAUAAUAAUGACCAAAGUUGACAAUAGUAAUAACAAUAAUAGCUAAUAUAGCAGGCACUAAUAAUUAUUUGUUGAGUAAUAUGUCAAAAUUCAGUGUGAACAGCAUUCUAUUUGGGGCUGCAUCCACUGACUAUAACACAGCUAAUCUAUCUGAAAUGUUCCAGCUUUGGGCCUCUCUAACAGAAGAAGCUGUUGUUGGGCCUGCCUCUAGUUGGCGAUGCAUCCACCAAUGAGAAUGAAUUUAUGAUCGACCACUCUUCCUGUAAAGGCCGCUGGAACUGACAGCAUUGUGAUUUUCUUUUACUGUUAGUUUUAAAUUACUAGAACCAACUCAAUUACUAGAACGAACUUUACUUCUUUGUUUCCUACUUAUCAAAACAGUAAAAACAACAAGUAAAAGAAAUGCCAUCUUAAUAUUGUUUUGAUGACAAAACAGUAUUCCUUUUAGUUGUGCUUCAAAUGGAAUAAGAUGCAAACAGGCUUGGUAUGGUGGCUCACCCCUGUAAUCCCAGCCCUUUGGGAGGCCAAGGUGGAAGGAUUGCUUGAGGCCAUGAGUUUGAGACCAGCCUGCGCAACAUAGCAAGACCGUGUCUCUACAAAAAAUAAAAAAUUAGCUGAGUGUAGUGGUGUGUGCUUGUGGUCCCAGCUACUUUUGAGGCUGAGGAGGGAGAAUCUCUUGAGCCCAGAAGGUCGAAGUUGCAGUGAGCCGUGAUCGUGCCAUUGCUCUCCAGCUUGGACAACAAAGCAAGACCCUAUGUCAAAAAAUAAAUAAAUAAAAGACAUAAACAUAUCUGAGAUUAACUUUCAGUGGUAAAUUUGUUCCAUAUAUGAUUUUUAAGGUUAAAUGCUUUGGAAGCUUUAAAAACCAUUUCAGCCCUUUUAAAUGCCAACUUACACUGAUGAUGCUCUCAGAUGUUAGGAAAUCUUUUGAGCAGAAAAUGGAAGUGGGGGUGUUGAGGCAGGGAGGAGAGUGAUGCAAUAUUCCUUAGUGUCAUCCUGUGAUUUCACAAUUUGUUUUUCAAUCUGUUUGGACUUUCAAAAGGGAAGACUCUCAUAUGUCAACAAGCCCAUGAACUGAAGCUUAAAACACUGGAAACAACAACUGUAGAGUUUCAAGUAUAUGUACAUUUAUGUAUUCAUGUUCCUUGAUGGGAAUGCUGGCUGGUGUGAAUGUUCAAUCUCCUGAGAAAUGUAAAUUUUUCUCUGACAGAUUUAUUAGCUUGCUGUAUCUGAGCACAUGAGCAAAAACAAUGCCUAAUAAGAAAACUUUCUCUCUCCUUCAAAGUCAAACUUGGGAGAAAUGAAGGGAAAUCGAGUUUUCUUUGCUUGACAGUGUUCAACAUUCUUGUAGUCAGUGUGCUCAUGAAGAUUGCAAACUUUUUUUUUUUUUUAGAGCAGCUAGGACUACAGGCGCGCACCACCACACCCAGCUAAUUUGUGUAUUUUUAGUAGAGAUGGGGUUUUAACUAUGUUGGCCAAGCUUGUCUCAAACUCCUGACCUCAAGUGAUCCAUUCGACAGCUCUUUCUUUUUUUUUUUUUUUUUUGAGACAAAGUCUCGCUCUGUCACCCAGGCUGGAGUGCAGUGGUAUGAUCUCAGCUCACUGCAACCUCCGCCUCCUGGGUUCAAGCAAUUCUCAUGCCUUAGCCUCCCGAAU
rnacentral:lncRNA from 10 species